UCGAGGAAAUUUUUCAGAGGUGAUGAGUUGUUUUUUUCCCCCGGUAAAUGUUGUUGAUUGCUGAGAAAUCGAUUAAAUACGAAUGAAAAUGAAAUUGUUGUCUUGAGCUCUGUUUUUCUUUCAUUGCGAUAUUGAUGGUGCUAAGAUUCGAUAUUUUUUUUUUUUUAAACUUUGAUUCCAAGCAUGGAAUGAUCGAUCUCUGGUUUAUUUUUCAUGCAGACUCGGUGAAAAUGAUGCGGCUGCGAACAUAUGCUAGCCUUAGUUUGGUGGCAACUAUAGCAGUUAUUUAUCAUGCAUUCAACAGUAGAGGCCAGUUUUAUCCAGCUAUGGUUUAUUUGUCGACCUCUAAGAUCAAUUUGGUGCUUCUUCUUAACAUGGGUCUAGUCAUUAUGUGCAUUUUAUGGCAAUUAACUAAACGGGUAUUCCUUGGUUCCCUCCGAGAAGCUGAAGUUGAAAGGUUGAAUGAGCAGUCAUGGAGAGAGGUUAUGGAAAUUCUCUUUGCUAUCACUAUUUUCAGGCAGGACUUCUCAGUGAUGUUUCUUGCUAUGGUCACAGCUUUACUGUUAAUCAAGGCAUUACAUUGGUUAGCCCAAAAGAGGGUAGAGUACAUCGAGACAACCCCAUCAGUGCCCAUGUUGUCUCACAUUCGGAUAGUUUCAUUUCUCGGGUUCCUUCUUCUUCUAGACAGUCUGUUUUUGUACAGUUCUAUUAAGUAUUUGAUAGAAACACGCCAGGCUUCAGUUUCUCUCUUCUUCUCCUUCGAGUAUAUGAUACUAGCAACGACAACAGUCUCUACUUUUGUAAAGUAUAUUUUCUAUGUGAGUGACAUGCUAUUAGAAGGACAAUGGGAAAAAAAGGCUGUCUACACCUUCUACUUGGAACUUAUUCGAGAUUUGCUUCACUUAUCUAUGUAUCUCUGCUUCUUCCUUGUGAUUUUCAUGAACUAUGGUGUACCUUUACACUUAAUAAGGGAGCUCUAUGAGACAUUCAGGAAUUUCAGACUUCGUGUUGCUGAUUACAUUCGUUACCGGAAGAUCACUUCAAAUAUGAAUGAUCGGUUUCCAGAUGCAACACCUGAAGAGCUCAAUGCAAGUGAUGCAACCUGCAUUAUUUGUCGUGAAGAGAUGACAACAGCCAAAAAAUUAAACUGUGGACAUCUCUUUCAUGUUCAUUGUCUCCGUUCAUGGUUGGAGAGGCAGCAUACUUGUCCUACAUGUAGGGCUCUCGUUGUACCACCUGAGAAUGGUGCAAGUACAGCUGGAGGGCAACAUGGGUCGCGAUCAGAUACUCAUCGGCAGGGGACCGGCACCACAAGUACAGGACUGCAGGGCUCAGUUGGCAGUAUGCCAGAUGAUAAUUUGAGCCAGCAUCAGACCAGGCUCCAAGCUGCUGCUGCUGCUGCCACUGUAUAUGAGAAAUCUUUUGUUUAUCCUUCUGCAAACACUCUAGUUUGGUCUCCUGGAUAUACCUUGCUUCCUCAAGCUCAAAGGCCUUUGGCUUAUGCUGCUAAUGGAGAGUCUAGUCAAGAUCAGGCCUUCAUAGGACAAUCACAGCAAGAGUCUGCAUUCCAUGCUGGGCCUUCAAACUUGUCCCUACCACAAUUUUCACACUGUAUCUUUGUACCCUUUCAGGUACCUGGUGCCAAUGCAAAUUAUGGAGAUAGGUUGGGUAGUGUACCAAACUCUGAGUUGGAAGCUCAGAAAAAGCUUCUCGAACACCAGAUUGAGGUCCUGCAAAGGCAACUCCAACUUCUACAACAGCCAAAGGCUGAGGGUAGCAUGCAUAUGUAUCCGACAACAUCAUCAGAAAGCGAAGGCAAGACAGUUGCAUCUUCAUCCCUAACAGAUUCUGGUCAUCAUGGAGAGAGUAAUAUGUAGUACUUUAGCAAAUUGAAGUUGUAUCAUGAGGCCAAAAAGUCUUGUAUGUAGGCAAAAGAAGAAUUAGAGAAGAUCCUUGCAAUUCUUCACAAAUGUAGUUUCCUCCCCAGGAGAGUAGAGGUUUCUAUACAUCUCAAAUCAUCAUCAUGAUCAGAAUCAUCCGAGGCCAGAUUCAGAAUUAACAGGAAUUAAACUAAUUAUUAAACCAGAUUCGAAUAUCUGGUUGGAUUUGCUUUCAAACACGUUCACCAGGUUGGAUUUGAUUUAUCCAAUUCUGCUUGAUGCGAUUUCAAAUAUACAAAAGAAAAUGCACUUGCAUC